rnacentral:rRNA from 1 species
CCCUUAGAUGUUCUGGGCCACACGCGCGUUACACUGAUGAAGCCAGCGAGUAUAUCGCCUUCACCGGAAGGUGCGGGUAAUCUUGUGAAACUUCAUCGUGCUGGGGAUAGACCAUUGCAAUUAUUGGUCUUGAACGAGGAAUUCCUAGUAAGCAUGAGUCAUCAACUCGUGCUGACUACGUCCCUGCCCUUUGUACACACCGCCCGUCGCUACUACCGAUUGAAUGGUUUAGUGAGAUCUCGGGAUUGGAGACGUUGCGCCGCAAGGCACAUCGUCCUCGAGAACUUGAUCAAACUUGAUCAUUUAGAGGAAGUAAAAGUCGUAACA